rnacentral:rRNA from 1 species
UGAUAUGGAGCAAAACCCUAAAAAGACGGUCUCAGUUCGGAUUGAAGGCUGAAAUUCGCCUUCAUGAAGCUGGAAUUGCUAGUAAUGGCAGGUCAGCAUACUGCCGUGAAUACGUUCCCGGGCCUUGUACACACCGCCCGUCACACCAUGAGAGUUGGAAAUACCCGAAGCCUGUGAGCUAACAGUAAUGAGGCAGCAGUCGAAGGUAGAGCCAAUGAUUGGGGUGAAGUCGUAACAAGGUAGC